rnacentral:misc_RNA from 1 species
GAGCUGGAGUUGGCUUGAGGCACUCUUCGUUUAUAUCUUUCCAGGCAUUUGCAAUCUGCUUUCGGAACAAUUUCAAUACCACUUCCUCUGAAACACCAUGUUCCUUCAUGUAGCAUUCAACUCCAGAAGCUACAUGCUCUCUCUUUUGCUCAAACUCGUGGGAUACAAUGUCGUCCAUGAGUCUGCAGACGAUUGAUGAAGCUCUAAGAAUCUUAGGGUCACUGGACACCCACUCAAAGGCAUCCUUUGUUGCUAUAGCCCCCAUGCCAAAGAAGGAAGUUGUUGCAAGCAUCGGAUAACAACUAGUUACAAGUGAAACUUUCAUAUAUUCCUCCAUAGUUGGGAUGUAGCCUUCGUCGCGCCACUUGGCUUCGGCCAAGUAAUUUCGCAUUACUCUCUUCAUAGCCUCUUUCAAAUAACCCAGGCAAUAUGACUUUCCUUCUUUAGCGAGAUGCUCUUCAAUUUCAAUGUACACAUCUAUUAGUGCACAAUAGGUGAUUUUCAUGUAAUCUGGAAGUGAAUCUUUGGCCUUAAUGUCCCACC